rnacentral:lncRNA from 1 species
GGGCAGUCCAACAACAACAACAAUGAUCACAGCGGGACUAAUGCCAACCCUCCUCCUCCUGGGAAUCAGCCCAUGACCAUAGAGCAGUUAAUGACUAUGCAGACUCAGCUGAUGCAAGGGAUGGCCCAUAUUAUGAACCACAUGCAGCAGAACCAAAAUCAGAAUCAGAACCAACAUCAAGGAGGUAACAACGCGUUUGCCCCACCUAGGGACAAGCGUGGAGAGUUCAUGAAGGGACGUCCACCG